GAUGAACGCUGGCGGCGUGCCUAAUACAUGCAAGUCGAGCGAACAGACGAGGAGCUUGCUCCUCUGACGUUAGCGGCGGACGGGUGAGUAACACGUGGAUAACCUACCUAUAAGACUGGGAUAACUUCGGGAAACCGGAGCUAAUACCGGAUAAUAUAUUGAACCGCAUGGUUCAAUAGUGAAAGACGGUUUUGCUGUCACUUAUAGAUGGAUCCGCGCCGCAUUAGCUAGUUGGUAAGGUAACGGCUUACCAAGGCAACGAUGCGUAGCCGACCUGAGAGAGUGAUCGGCCACACUAGAACUGAGACACGGUCCAGACUCCUACGGGAGGCAGCAGUAGGGAAUCUUCCGCAAUGGGCGAAAGCUUGACGGAGCAACGCCGCGUGAGUGAUGAAGGUCUUCGGAUCGUAAAACUCUGUUAUUAGGGAAGAACAAAUGUGUAAGUAACUAUGCACGUCUUGACGGUACCUAAUCAGAAAGCCACGGCUAACUACGUG
rnacentral:rRNA from 1 species